AGAUUUCAAAUUCUAUAUUCAUUUUGUUAAAGUUUUGGCUUCUAUACUCCAUGAAAUUAGUAGAAUAUCAUUGAUAUUUGCGCUUCAUCCAGUAUCUUUUCAUGGAAAUAUUAUUCUGAGUAUUUUUGAUAAGUUUUAACUUUUUCAUGUCGGAGUACUAUUCACAGGUUACUAUUCAUGAAGUACUAUUCACAGAGUACUAUUCACUCGAGUAAUAUUCACCCGGGGUACUAUUCAUGAUAAAAAUUGAUUCGUUUUCGGUCCAAACCAUUUUUGGUAUAAUAUUAUUCUUGAAUUUUACUCCAUAAAGUAGUAUCAUGUUGACAAUUUGAACGUUAUUGAAUUCUGGAUAAAUUAAAUUAUAAAUCUUUCAAAUUUAUCCUUGAACUUGUUUUAUUGAAUUAUUAUGUCAUUGUCAUCAUCCUCAUGCUUAUAUUGUUAUGAAAGUCAUCUUUGGCCUGUAGUGCAUAGAUGGACUUGAUAUGAUUAUGACCAGGGAUUAUUCGGUAUAAUCAUGACCGUAAUGUUACAAAUGAUGUGGUAAAAGUCCUCUUUGGCCCGUAGUACAUUGAUGGACAGUUUUUGGUAUGAUCAUGACCAUGGGUUCUCUUCGGCCAAGGGUGCAAAGAUGAAUUAUUUUAUGGCGUGAUCAUGACCGUUGAUGAAAACACGAUUAUCCUUGGCUCUUAGUGCAUGGAUAAUUCGUGGUCGUGAUACUAAAGAAUAUCCUUGGCCGUAGUGCAGGGAUGAUUCGAUGAUGUGGAUUAUUUAUUAAGUUGAGUCUCAGCGAUAAAAUCGAUGAUAAACUUUUUAAAUCAUAAAAGGUAGUAGAUAUCAUGCUCUACUUGACUCUUCUAAUGGAUUGCUUAUUCCGCUGCAGUUGUUGAUCUAAAACUUGUUGUCUAUUAUAUUCUAUCAGUUGUUAUACUGUUGAAGGCUAAGGAUAAU
rnacentral:lncRNA from 1 species